AUUGAACGCUGGCGGCAGGCCUAACACAUGCAAGUCGAACGAGUGGCGGACGGGUGAGUAAUGUCUGGGAAACUGCCUGAUGGAGGGGGAUAACUACUGGAACCGGUAGCUAAUACCGCAUACCAUCAUAUCAGCCCAGAUGGGAUUAGCUUGUUGGUGGGGUAAAGGCUCACAAAGGCGACGCUCCCUAGCUGGUCUGAGAGGAUGACCAGCCACACUGGAACUGAGACACGGUCCAGACUCCUACGGGAGGCAGCGGUGGGGAAUAUUGCAAAAGGGGCGCAAGCCUGAUGCAGCCAUGCCGCGUGUAUGAAGAAGGCCUGCGGGUUGUAAAGUACUUUCAGCGGGGAGGCGUUACCCGCAGAAGAAGCACCGGCUAACUCCGUGCCAGCAGCCGCGGUAAUUC
rnacentral:rRNA from 1 species